rnacentral:rRNA from 1 species
AUUGAACGCUGGCGGCAGGCCUAACACAUGCAAGUCGAGCGAGCGGCGGACGGGUGAGUAAUGUAUGGGGACUGCCCGUUAGAGGGGGAUAACUACUGGAAACGGUGGCUAAUACCGCAUACUAUCGGAUAACCCAUAUGGGAUUAGCUAGUAGGUGAGGUAACGGCGCACCUAGGCUACGGCCCCUAGCUGGUCUGAGAGGAUGAUCAGCCACACUGGGACUGGGGCACGGCCCAGACGCCUACGGAGGCUGCGGUGGGGAAUAUUUGACAAGGGGCGCAAGCGUAAUGCAACCAUGCCACGUGUAUGAAGAAGGCCUUAGGGUUGUAAAGUACUUUCAAUCGGGAGGCGUUACCGACAGAAGAAGCACCGGCUAACUCCUUGCCAGCAGCCGCGGUAAUUC